AGCCUGGAGGAUGGGCCAUACAUAACUUGACUACUGUUCUCUGGAUCUUAAUUAUAGACAUAUUAUUAUUUUAGGAAGAAUUUCUAAGAAGAUAAUAUGUAAUAAUACAUGAAACGUUUACAAGCGAGCAUCUUAAAGUAGAUAAGAUAAAAAUAUGAUAUAAGAGUAACAGCACACAAUAAGAAAAACAUUUCAUCGAGAUAUGAAAAUUAUUAAUGUAUGAAUUAAAAGCUUACCAAUAUCUUCAUUAUUGGGAUCAUCGAUACUAUGGUAACUAGAAAUUGAUCCCGUGCUAAAAUAAGUUGACUUUGCGGAUGUCGCAGAGUAGAAACUGUCUAGCCUCUGUCUUCUCUCAGCUUCUGUUUCCAGAGUGAUAUUAUCGCUUAUUAUUUCGUUAUCGUCACAGCUAUCAAAAGAUCCAUCAAAAA